CCCUACGUCCCCCUUCCCCACCGGCGCCUAGAGAAGAGGCGGAACUCCAAGGGCUGCUUCCUCACCCCUUUCCUUGCAAAGACGUUUCAUCCGCAAUUGGCUCAAUCCUUCGAUCUCCGACCCGCUGCAAACGAGCGAAAGUCUGUGGCUUGGAUCAGACCACCACUGUCCCAGAGGGAGGGGGAAGAAACGAGAAGUCACCUCUUGUUUCGGAUGCCUAUGCCAAGGGUCCCUGGUGCUGACUUUGGAGAACAUCAUUAGACUAUUGCUCACGGAACUCCUCACAAUCUAGGCCCUUUCUUGAAGGUAAGGAUGCUGAGACAAAGAAAUCAAACAGCUCCAAGUCACAAGGUGGCAUGUGGAGUGGGUGAGGUUCCAGGAGUUCAGUUCAGUGUUUAGCUGUGGAUAUCUGUCUCUGCUUCCAUCAGUCCCU